rnacentral:rRNA from 1 species
AUUGAACGCUGGCGGCAGGCCUAACACAUGCUAGUCGAACGAGUGGCGGACGGGUGAGUAAUGUCUGGGAAACUGCCUGCUGGCGGGGGAUAACUACUGGAACCGGUAUCUAAUACCGCAUACCAUCAGAUGUGCCCAGAUGGGAUUAGCUUGUUGGUGGGGUAAAGGCUCACCAAGGCGCCGAUCCCUAGCUGGUCUGAGAGGAUGACCAGGCAAACUGGAACUGAGAAACGGUCCAGACUCCGACGGGAGGCAGCAGUGGGGAAUAUUGCACAAUGGGCGCAAGCCUGAUGCAGCCAUGCCGCGUGUAUGAAGAAGGCCGUCGGGUUGUAAAGUACGUUCAGCGGGGAGGCGUUACCCGCAGAAGAAGCACGGGCGAACGCCGUGCCAGCAGGCGCGGUAAGUG